rnacentral:lncRNA from 1 species
CUGAACUUGAUGCGAUGGGAGGCUGUGCAGGCUCGCGGCGGCGCUUUUCGGAUUCCGAGGGCUGCUGGGCCUUUGCAACAACUUCUCUUAUGUGGUGAUGCUGAGUGCCGCCCACGACAUCCUUAGCCACAAGAGGACAUCGGGAAACCAGAGCCAUCUAUUUCUUGUUGCUCACAUCUCCUGAGGCCCAGGACCCUGGAGGGGAAGAAGAAGCAGAGAGCGCAGCCCGGCAGCCCCUCAUAAGAACCGAGGCCCCGGAGUCGAAGCCAGGCUCCAGCUCCAGCCUCUCCCUUCGGGAAAGGUGGACAGUGUUCAAGGGUCUGCUGUGGUACAUUGUUCCCUUGGUCGUAGUUUACUUUGCCGAGUAUUUCAUUAACCAGGGACUUUUUGAACUCCUCUUUUUCUGGAACACUUCCCUGAGUCACGCUCAGCAAUACCGCUGGUACCAGAUGCUGUACCAGGCUGGCGUCUUUGCCU